rnacentral:rRNA from 1 species
AUAUUGGACAAUGGGCGAUAGCCUGAUCCAGCCAUGCCGCGUGUGUGAAGAAGGUCUUCGGAUUGUAAAGCACUUUAAGUUGGGAGGAAGGGCAGCAAGUCAAUAGCUUGCUGUUUUGACGUAACCGACAUAUUAGGCACCGGCAAACUUCGUGGUAGCAGCCGGGGUAAUACGAAGGGUGCAAGCGUUAAUCGGAAUUAAUGGACGUAAAGGCACCGUAGGUGGUUUGUUAAGUUGGAAGUGAAAGCCCCGGGCUCAACCUGGGAACUGCUUUGAAAACUGGCAAGCUAGAGUAUGGCAGAGGGUGGUGGAAUUUCCUGUGUAGCGGUGAAAUGCGUAGAUAUAGGAAGGAACACCAGUGGCGAAGGCGACCACCUGGGCUAAUACUGACACUGAGGUGCGAAGGCGUGGGGAGCAAACA